CUCAGAUAAAUGGAAACAUCACUGUUCCAAGGGACAGGAUCAAGAGAUGGUGCACCUGUCAAACAUAGGAAUUAUUUCCCACACAUAGGAAGUUGUUUUAUGAGCAUGGAUAAAACUGACAUCAUCCCUACAAAGCAGACAAAAUCCUCAUGCAAGAAGCAGAAAGAAAUGCUAAAUGAGAGAUAUCUGGAAUCCUAUCUUCUAUUCCACAAGAUGCACAUUGUCUGUCCAAGACAAGCGUUAGUUUUCCUGAAUGAUCUUUGUAAACUGAAGACUGGAUUUCGACUAUAGCUUUUAAAGGAAUUUAAUUGGAAGGGCAGUUGGUGACCAUUGCUUUUCUACAGACUGGCAUAAACCACAACACCUGUGAGUGUAAGCCCAUCAUUUGCCUCACUUCAAACCUGAUGCCUCAAAACUAGCCUAACAGUUUUGAAACUGAUAUGACUGAUGACUUGGAAUUGUUAAGACAUGCAGCAAUGACUGAAAGCAUUCAAAUUUUUAUUGUGAUAUAAACUGCACUGUAGCCUUGGCAAUGCUGCCAACUUAUAAUCUUAAGAAAAACUUUACAUUUUCUUGGA